rnacentral:sRNA from 1 species
UACCUAAUCCAAAUACCUAAUCCACAC